AGUGAACGCUGGCGGUAGGCCUAACACAUGCAAGUCGAACGGCAGCACAGUAAGAGCUUGCUCUUACGGGUGGCGAGUGGCGGACGGGUGAGGAAUACAUCGGAAUCUACUUUUUCGUGGGGGAUAACGUAGGGAAACUUACGCUAAUACCGCAUACGACCUACGGGUGAAAGCAGGGGAUCUUCGGACCUUGCGCGAUUGAAUGAGCCGAUGUCGGAUUAGCUAGUUGGCGGGGUAAAGGCCCACCAAGGCGACGAUCCGUAGCUGGUCUGAGAGGACGAUCAGCCAAACUGGAACUGAGACACGGUCCAGACCCCGACGGGAGGCAGCAGUGGGGAAUAUUGGACAAGGGGCGCAAGCCUGAUCCAGCCAUACCGCGUGGGUGAAGAAGGCCUUCGGGUUGUAAAGCCCUUUUGGCGGGAAAAAAAAGCAGCAGGUUAAACCCCCGCUGUUCUGACGGUACCCAAAGAAAAAGCACCGGCUAACUUCGU
rnacentral:rRNA from 1 species